ACUUUAAGGGUGAGUGUUAAAAUUAUAAAGUGUAACUUUUGGAAAAUUAUAGAAUAGUGUAGAAUAUUAUAGAAGUUAGGAGAUAUUUGUUAGUGUAGGUGAUAAAAAUAUCUAGAUAGUUUGUAAGAAAAGUGUGGAGUAUUCUAGAAGACGAAUCUCCACCAUAGGAUUAAAUAGAUCAUGACCGUCCAUUGAGGAGGUGGAAAGCCUAUAUAUACCUACCCCUCCCCACAUUUGUAUCAUCCAAAAAAAUCCAAGUCUUCUUGAGUUAAUAAAGUAUUCUCCAAGUUAUUCAAGUAAGUCUUCCACUUU
rnacentral:lncRNA from 1 species